GACGAACGCUGGCGGCGUGCUUAACACAUGCAAGUCGAACGGUGAAGCGCCUUCCUUUUUGGUGGGUGUGGAUGAGUGGCGAACGGGUGAGUAACACGUGAGUAACCUGCCCCCUUCUUCUGGAUAACCGCAUGAAAGUGUGGCUAAUACGGGAUAUUCUGGGUCUGUCGCAUGAUGGGUCUGGGAAAGAUAUUGUUUCGGUGGGGGAUGGGCUCGCGGCCUAUCAGCUUGUUGGUGGGGUGAUGGCCUACCAAGGUGGUGACGGGUAGCCGGCCUGAGAGGGUGGACGGUCACACUGGGACUGAGACACGGCCCAGACUCCUACGGGAGGCAGCAGUGGGGAAUAUUGCACAAUGGGCGCAAGCCUGAUGCAGCGAGGCCGCGUGAGGGAUGGAGGCCUUCGGGUUGUGAACCUCUUUCGCCAGUGAAGCAGGCCUGCCUCGUUUGUGGGUGGGUUGACGGUAGCUGGAUAAGAAGCGCCGGCUAACUACGUG
rnacentral:rRNA from 1 species